rnacentral:rRNA from 1 species
UACGUAGGGGGCAAGCGUUGUCCGGAAUCACUGGGCGUAAAGCGCGCGCAGGCGGUCAUCUACGUCUGGGGUGAAAGCCCGGAGCUCAACUCCGGGAUUGCCUUGGAUACGGGAUGACUUGAGGAUCGGAGAGGCAAGGGGAAUUCCACGUGUAGCGGUGAAAUGCGUAGAGAUGUGGAGGAACACCUGUGGCGAAGGCGACUUGCUGGCCGAUUUCUGACGCUGAGGCGCGAAAGCGUGGGGAGCAAACAGG